rnacentral:rRNA from 1 species
AACCUUACCAAGGCUUGACAUGUUCUCGAUCGCCGUAGAGAUACGGUUUCCCCUUUGGGGCGGGUUCACAGGUGGUGCAUGGUUGUCGUCAGCUCGUGUCGUGAGAUGUUGGGUUAGUCCCGCAACGAGCGCAACCCUCGUUCCAUGUUGCCAGCACGUCGUGGUGGGGGACUCAUGGGAGACUGCGGGGGUCAACUCGGAGGAAGGUGAGGACGACGUCAAAUCAUCAUGCCCCCUUAUGUCUUGGGCUUCACGCAUGCUACAAUGGCCGGUACAAUGGGUUGCGAUACUGUGAGGUGGAGCUAAUCCCAAAAAGCCGGUCUCAGUUCGGAUUGGGGUCUGCAACUCGACCCCAUGAAGUCGGAGUCGCUAGUAAUCGCAGAUCAGCAACGCUGCGGUGAAUACGUUCCCGGGCCUUGUACACACCGCCCGUCAAGUCACGAAAGUCGGUAACACCCGAAGCCGGUGGCCUAACCCUUGUGGGGGGAGCCGUCGAAGGUGGGACCAGCGAUUGGGACUAAGUCGUAACAAGGUAGCCC